UAGACAAACGCUGGAAUAUUAUUAUUCUUGAGGAAAGUCCAUGCUCACACAGUCUGCGAUGACUGUAGUGUUCGUGCUUAGGGAAUAAAUAACCUAAGGUAGGUAAUACUAACGGAGGAGGAUGUUCUAAGUCUUUUAUGAUAUGAACUAUUCUAUAAAGUGCCACAGUGACGAUACUUCUAGAAAUGGAAGGGUGAAACGUGGUAAACCCCGCGAGUGAGAAACCCAAAAUUGGUAGGGGAGCCUUAAUGAAAGAAUUGAAUGGAGUUAAGGACCAGUAAUGGUAGAUAAAUGUUUGUCGCCUGGUAACAGGUACAGAACAUGGCUUAUU
rnacentral:RNase_P_RNA from 1 species